rnacentral:lncRNA from 1 species
AGGCAGGCUUGCGAUUCAGAAAAUGGAGUUCAGUCAAUGGAAUGUUCUCUCAUUUCUGAAUAGCCAUAUUGAGUUGUUUUUGAGCAUCUGCUCAACAUUCUUAGAUAGUGACCACAACCUCACCAUCGUGUCGGGUGUGGUUGUGGUUGCUUCUUCUGUUCCUGUGCUUCCUGGUGGGGAUUCCAUCUUCACCAACCUUCUGGAAAACCAAAAUCUACCAAAAGCGUCAGGGCAGAGCCAAGAGGAGAAGAAAAGGUGGAACAUCAAGUGGCUCAGGGAAGAAUAGAAGCAGAGGCUGGAGAAAAGGCUGUGGAUGCUGGACAAUCCUGAUGAGAGGGAAAAGCAGGCAGACACCGUGGGCUGAGAGCCUGCUGCCUCACCGCUUCAAAGAUCACAAGCCACCAAGGGCACUCUUCUAGGAGAAAAAACUAACGCUCAAGUUAUGUCGUCUUACCAAGCAGGACACUCUGUAUUUGCUGUCCCAUCUGUGAGGGGAUUUGCAUGGAAACCUCCCCCAGUGCUAAUGGGAGUCGUUCUCCAACGCAGUCCUCUCUGCAUAGAGGACGGGACGGCUGCCACGGGGAUAUGAAGCUCGGGUCAUUUAAUAAAAAAAGCUCUUGGAAUUAGCACUCCCCAGGUUUCAGAGAUCCAUGUAGUGUAAUUUACUUCCACAUUUUCCUCUCAAUCUGAAGUCUGAAUGUGUUAUCUAAGCUUAGAUACAAGGUUAUCCAAGCAGUGACCUUGGUGGGAAUCUGGCUUCCCUGGGUCUUCUGGAAAAAUGGUCAUCCAAUCUUUUCUUCCUGUCCCCCCUUUAUAAGAAUACAGAAAAGCAACUACUUACAGAAAUAAAGCAAUUAUUAUAAAAAAGAAGAAUUUAUUAACAAUAUGGCUUGAAAAUGAACUGAACUAAAUUUUUCCCUCUUCGUAUGAAUUGGAUUUUUUCCUGUAAACAUGUUUAAUUAGAAACACGCAGUGAGAGCAAG